rnacentral:pre_miRNA from 12 species
ACAGCUCUUGGAUGUCAAAUUGACUCUAGUAGGGAGUCCGUUUAAUGCGCGACUCCCUAAUCGAGUCAGGUUGACUUCCUUGAGGCUAAGCCAACG